rnacentral:rRNA from 1 species
ACGAACGCUGGCGGCGUGCCUAAUACCUGCAAGUAGAACGCUGAAGAGAGGAGCUUGCUCUUCUUGGAUGAGUUGCGAACGGGUGAGUAACGCGUAGGUAACCUGCCUUGUAGCGGGGGAUAACUAUUGGAAACGAUAGCUAAUACCGCAUAACAAUGGAUGACACAUGUCAUUUAUUUGAAAGGGGCAAUUGCUCCACUACAAGAUGGACCUGCGUUGUAUUAGCUAGUAGGUGAGGUAAUGGCUCACCUAGGCGACGAUACAUAGCCGACCUGAGAGGGGGAUAGGCCACACUGGGACUGAGACACGGCCCAGACUCCUACGGGAGGCAGCAGUAGGGAAUCUUCGGCAAUGGGGGCAACCCUGACCGAGCAACGCCGCGUGAGUGAAGAAGGUUUUCGGAUCGUAAAGCUCUGUUGUAAGUCAAGAACGGGUGUGAGAGUGGAAAGUUCACACUGUGACGGUAGCUUACCAGAAAGGGACGGCUAACUACGUG